rnacentral:lncRNA from 1 species
CUCAGGCCCAGCUUCCACGCACAUGCUGCUUCCCGGUUUGCUGACGUCCUCUGUGCUGAGAGCACCAUGUCACUCCUCAGCUGACAUCACUCUGGAUUGGCAGCCAGGGCCAUGAGCUCGUUUUGUCAACAACCCUCCCCCUCUUUUUGCUCUUUCCUGGCUGUGUGGUGGACUCUUCAGGGACACAGCAGUCACUGCGCUGCAGGGACAGUCCCCAAGUGCCAAGGCACAGCCUAAAGGGGCCUGUUCCCACCAUGGCAUCCGUGACAAGAACCAGGAGCCAGAAUGCAGGUUUCUGGGACUUGUCAGCUCCCUUCUGAGUGCCCUGUUGAGGAUUCCUAGAAGUCCAGACACCUCACCCCCCUAACCUGGAUGGACCACGCAGAGCCAAUAGGAAUACUUUUCUGUGGACGUGCCAUGUUGGAAUCCCAGAUCUCCCUGCCCUGCCAGCCCCUGCCAGCUUCCUGGGGACCCAACUGACCCUGAAGAAAGCCUCUGAUGGGCCUAGAACAGAGAAGGUGACCCAGGACCUUGCCCAGCCUUUCUGGACAACUGGAAGACAGUUACGCUUCGUCCUCCACCUCUCCCUCCAACAAAAGGAUCUUAGCAAGUGUUGGAGAGGUGCUGAAGUCGUAUUAGGACCAACCAGACUUUUUCUUUGAGGAUACUCAGAAGGAGUGAAGGAGAAUGGAACAGGGGGUGUGAAUAAAUGAGCUUUCUCCAUGUGUGAUUCAAAGUGGUUUAACCCAUGCCUCACCUUCUAGAACACCCGUGGCCCUCUCUAGCCAUGAGAAGUGUCACCACUAGCCAUCAAAAUGCUCCCAAAAGUCCAACCUUUGACCAAACUACAUUUCAGAUUUUCAUUUCAGAUUUUCUUAAAUUCUGGAGAAAAAAGAAAAUAAAGUAAAAGAAUAAAUAUUU